AUGCAAGUCGAACGGUAACAGGAAGCAGCUUGCUGCUUCGCUGACGAGUGGCGGACGGGUGAGUAAUGUCUGGGAAACUGCCUGAUGGAGGGGGAUAACUACUGGAAACGGUAGCUAAUACCGAAUAACGUCGCAAGACCAAAGAGGGGGACCUUAGGGCCUCUUGCCAUCGGAUGUGCCCAGAUGGGAUUAGCUAGUAGGUGGGGUAACGGCUCACCUAGGCGACGAUCCCUAGCUGGUCUGAGAGGAUGACCAGCCACACUGGAACUGAGACACGGUCCAGACUCCUACGGGAGGCAGCAGUGGGGAAUAUUGCACAAUGGGCGCAAGCCUGAUGCAGCCAUGCCGCGUGUAUGAAGAAGGCCUUCGGGUUGUAAAGUACUUUCAGCGGGGAGGAAGGGAGUAAAGUUAAUACCUUUGCUCAUUGACGUUACCCGCAGAAGAAGCACCGGCUAGCUCCGUGCCAGCAGCCGCGGUAAUACGGAGGGUGCAAGCGUUAAUCGGAAUUACUGGGCGUAAAGCGCACGCAGGCGGUUUGUUAAGUCAGAUGUGAAAUCCCCGGGCUCAACCUGGGAACUGCAUCUGAUACUGGCAAGCUUGAGUC
rnacentral:rRNA from 1 species